AACUAACGCUAGCGGCGUGCCUAACACAUGCAAGUCGUACGAGAAAGUCGGCUUCGGCUGAUGAGUAAAGUGGCGCACGGGUGAGUAACGCGUGGAUAAUCUACCUCUAUCUGGGGGAUAACCCAUCGAAAGGUGGGCUAAUACCGCAUAAUCCGGCUGAUUUUUGGAUUGGCCGGCAAAGGUGGCCUCUUGAUCAAAGCUACCGGGUUGAGAUGAGUCCGCGUCCCAUUAGCUUGUUGGUAGGGUAACGGCCUACCAAGGCGACGAUGGGUAGCUGGUCUGAGAGGACGAUCAGCCACACUGGAACUGGUACACGGUCCAGACUCCUACGGGAGGCUG
rnacentral:rRNA from 1 species